rnacentral:tRNA from 1 species
GCCGAAAUAGCUCAGUUGCGAGAGCGUUAGACUUAAGCUCUUAAGAUCCCUGGUUCGAUCCCGGGUUUCGGCA